UACGUAGGGGGCAAGCGUUGUCCGGAAUCAUUGGGCGUAAAGCGCGUGUAGGCGGCCUAGUAAGUCCGUUCUGAAAGUCCGGGGCUCAACCCCGGGAGGCGGAUGGAUACUGCUGGGCUCGAGUACGGAAGAGGCGAGUGGAAUUCCCGGUGUAGCGGUGAAAUGCGCAGAUAUCGGGAGGAACACCAAUGGCGAAGGCAGCUCGCUGGGACGUUACUGACGCUGAGACGCGAAAGCGUGGGGAGCAAACAGG
rnacentral:rRNA from 1 species